UUUUUGAAUAAUAAUUUAAAGUCUGAUCUGCUCCAUGAUUUAUUAAAUAGCUGCAGUAUAUUGACUGUACAAAGGUAGCAUAAUCAAUAGUUUUUUAAUUGAAAGCUGGUAUGAACGAUUUGAUAAGGUAAAUAUUGUCUCAAUUUUAAUAAAAUUAUAAUUUUUUUUUUAGUAAAAAUACUAAAUUGAAUUUAAAAGACGAGAAGACCCUAUAGAUUUUUAUAAUAAAUUAUUAAAUUAAUUUAAAUAAAUUUAGGUUAGUUAUUUAAUUUAUAUAUUUGGUUGGGGAAAUUAUUAAAUUAAAUAAAUUUUAAUUAUUUUUAAACAAAAAUUAUUGGAAAUUUGAUCUUAAAAUUUUAAAUUAUAAGAAUAAAUUACCUUAGGGAUAACAGCGUAAUUUUUUUAAAGAGAUCAUAUUGAUAAAAAAGUUUGCGACCUCGAUGUUGAAUUAAGAUUAAAUUUUAAUGAARAAGUUAAAAAAUUUUGGUCUGUUCGACCAUUAAAAUCUUACG
rnacentral:rRNA from 1 species